rnacentral:hammerhead_ribozyme from 1 species
AUCCAGCUAACGAGUCCAAAAUAGGAUGAGACGCACGUCCUGGAU